rnacentral:lncRNA from 1 species
ACUGGAUUUUCCAUUAUUCUCCUCCACAUAUUUUAUAUUUUUUUUUAUUCUUUGUAUUUUUUCAAGAUAAGAAAACCUCUACUCGUAUCAAAUUUAACUUCACAAAGCAAGUUAGCAAUUCAAAUGCACAAAUCAUAGGGAAAUUUCAUAAGCAUGCCAAGUAGUUGAUUAAAACAUGGUUCCAUUAAGCUUGAGUUUAGGAAUCAUAUGCAAAGACAAUGACCCAACAAGACUAGCUAACAUGAAU